rnacentral:SRP_RNA from 1 species
CUGUGCUAGAUGGGGAGCCAGCGGUGCCCUGUAACCUGCAACCCGCUAUAGCAGGAUCGAAUUCCUCUUUUAGGUUUGCUCGUCAGGUAUUAUGUUUUAAUAAGUGGUGUUGAUAGUUAAGUCCUGCGCAAUAGAGUAAUGCCCAACUCCGUCAGGACCGGGAGGUAGCAGCGGUAAGCAAAAUCUUUAUGUGCCGCAGGUCAGCUUGGCUGGAGCUAACUGUUAAAACAUUUUAUCAGAAAAGAGAAAUCAACGGGAGGUGCACAG